rnacentral:rRNA from 1 species
CCUACGGGAGGCAGCAGUAGGGAAUAUUGCACAAUGGGGGAAACCCUGAAGCAGCAACGCCGCGUGGAGGAUGAAGGUUUUCGGAUUGUAAACUCCUUUUGUUAGAGAAGAUAAUGACGGUAUCUAACGAAUAAGCACCGGCUAACUCCGUGCCAGCAGCCGCGGUAAUACGGAGGGUGCAAGCGUUACACGGAUUCACUGGGCGUAAAGGGCGCGUAGGCGGGAUAGCAAGUCAGAUGUGAAAUCCUAUGGCUUAACCAUAGAACUGCAUUUGAAACUGUGAUUCUAGAGUAUGGGAGAGGUAGGUGGAAUUCUUGGUGUAGGGGUAAAAUCCGUAGAGAUCAAGAGGAAUACUCAUUGCGAAGGCGACCUGCUAGAACAUAACUGACGCUGAUGCGCGAAAGCGUGGGGAGCAAACAGGAUUAGAUACCCGAGUAGUC